rnacentral:rRNA from 1 species
UACGUAGGGUGCAGGCGUUAAUCGGAAUUACUGGGCGUAAAGGGCGCGCAGGCGGCUCAUUUUGUCAGGCGUGAAAGCCCCGGGCUUAACCUGGGAACUGCGUUUGAUACGGAUGGGCUAGAGUUCGGGAGAGGAGAGUGGAAUUCCCAGUGUAGAGGUGAAAUUCGUAGAUAUUGGGAAGAACACCGGUGGCGAAGGCGGCUCUCUGGACCGAGACUGACGCUGAGGCGCGAAAGCGUGGGGAGCAAACAGG